rnacentral:tRNA from 1 species
GGGGAUUUAGCUCAGCGGCAUAAGCGCCUGCCUUGCAAGCAGGCAGUCGUGAGUUCGAUCCUUGUUAUCGAUA